UACGAAGGGGGCUAGCGUUGUUCGGAAUUACUGGGCGUAAAGCGCACGUAGGCGGAUAUUUAAGUCAGGGGUGAAAUCCCGGGGCUCAACCCCGGAACGGCCUUUGAUACUGGAUGUCUUGAGUCCGGAAGAGGUGAGUGGAAUUGCGAGUGUAGAGGUGAAAUUCGUAGAUAUUCGCAGGAACACCAGUGGCGAAGGCGGCUCACUGGACCGGAAUUGACGCUGAGGUGCGAAAGCGUGGGGAGCAAACAGG
rnacentral:rRNA from 1 species